rnacentral:sRNA from 1 species
GGCAGGAACGUGAUUGUUCACAGUCAGUUACAGAUUGAACUCCUUGUUCUACUACUUUCCCCCCUCCUCACUACUGCACUUCACUAGUCUUAA